rnacentral:lncRNA from 1 species
UUGUAACGCCCUCGAUGCGACUAUAUCUCCCACGUGUCGAAUCACGACUUAGAGGCAUAACCGCAUUGAAAGCAAUGUCGCAAGUGAGGUAAUCUUCACACAACCCAUGUAAUACAUAAGGGGAAAAGAUACAUAGUUGGCUUACAAUCGCCACUUCACACAAUUACAUGAAUAAAGCAUUACAUCAUCCAGAUACAAUCAAGGUCCGACUACGGAACCAAAAUAAAAGAAGAACCCCAAAUGCGACAAAGGUCCCCGAUCGACCCCAACUGGGCUCCACUACUGAUCAACUAGAACGAAACAACACAAAGGGCAAGAUCUUCAUCGAGCUCCUCCUUGAGCUUGGUUGCGUCACCUGCUCGGUAACAUCGACACCUGCAAACUGGUUUUGGAAGUAUCUGGUGAGCCACGAGGACUCAGCAAUCCCAUUACCAUGGGUAUCAAGACUAGCAAAGCUUAAUGGGAAAAGAAGGGGUAAAGUGGUGAGGUUGCAGCAGCGACUAAGCAUAUAUGGUGGCUAACAUACGCAAAUGAGAGCGAGAAGAGAAACAAAGGAACGGUCGUGAAGCUAGCAAUGAUCAAGAGGUGAUCCUGAACACCUACUUACGUCAAACAUAACCCAGAAACCGUGUUCACUUCCCGGACUACGCCGAGAAGAGACCAUCACGGCUACACACACGGUUGAUGCGUUUUAAUUCGGAUCAAGUGUCAAGUUAUCUACAACCGGACAUUAACAAAUUCCCAUCUGCCACAUAACCGCGGGCACGGCUCUCGAAAGUUUAUACCCUGCAGGGGUGUCCCAACUUAGCCCAUGACAAGCUCUCGCGAUCAACGAAGGAAUAGACCUUCUCCCAGGAAGACCCGAUCAGUCUCGGAAUCCCGGUUUACAAGACAUUUCGACAAUGGUAAAACAAGACCAGCAAAGCCUCCCGCUGUGCCGACAAAUCCCGAUAGGAGCUGCACAUAUCUCGUUCUCAGGGCACACCGGAUGAGCAAGACGUCGGGUUGGCAUAGACCCUGGUUGCCCAAGGGCGCCGGACAUCGCUCGGUUUGGACCAGCACUUAGACAAGCACUGGCCCGGGGGGGCUAAAAUAAAGAUGACCCUCGGGUUGGCCGACCCAAGGGAAAGGGAUAGGUGGUGGUGAGGCAAAUGGUAAAACCAAGGUUAGGCCUUGCUGGACAAGUUUUAUUCAAAGCGAACUGUCAGGGGGGUCCCAUAAAUCACCCGACCGCGUUAGGAACGCAAAAUCCGGGAACAUAACACCGGUAUGACGGAAACUAGGGCGGCAAGAGUGGAACAAAACACCAGGCAUAAGGCCGAGCCUUCCACCCUUUACCAAAUAUAUAGAUGCAUUAAAAAUAUAAGAGAUAUUGUGAUAUCCCAACCAAAAUCCUGUCCACCAUGGAGAAAUCUUCAACUUCACCUGCAACUAGCAACGCUAUAAGAGGGGCUGAGCAAAAGCGGUAACAUAGCCAAACAGUGGUUUGCAUAGGAAAGGUGUCAAAGGUUAGAGGUUCAUGGCAAUAUGGGAUGGCUGGACAAAAAGGCAAUAGGUAGCGCAGCAUAGCGAAAGAACGAGGCAACUAGCAUAGCAAUGAUAGUAGUGAGAUCCAGGGUAGCGGUCAUCUUGCCUGAAAUCCUGCAAGGAAGAAGAACGAGUCCAUGAAGAAGACGAACGGGAGUAGUCGAAUGAAUCCUCACAAUCGCAACAUUACCGGAACUAAGAAGCAACACCGGAAAGAAACAAACAACAUGGUAAACAUACAAGCAUAAAUAUGGCAUGAUGCACAAUCAAGUAUGAUGCAUGUCCGGGUUUAAUGAGGCAUGGCAUGGCAAAGUGCAACAAACAAUACUACAAGUUAAGUGGAGCUCAAUAUGCAACGAGUUGCAUAUUGACGAAACACCACGACAAGUUAUUUAGUUCGAUCUCGUUUAUGUACCCAACAAUAUUAAAUGUUGAUUAACAUGGCAAGGGGUGAAGCAUAACAAAACUACCUACCUAGGCAAGUUUAAAUGAGGCCAGAAACAACGAACAACAAGUCCGGAAAAUCCUCAUGUGCAUAUUUUAGAAAUGGUACUGUUCUGCCUAAACAAUAUUUUAAUGUUGUUAAACAGGGAAAUAAAGUGCACCAUGUUAAACUAGGCAUUUUUCCACCCCAUUUACAUAUAAAGAACAUUUAAAAUGGAGCUACGGUUAUUUAGUUAUGAAAUAAAUCAUUUUAGCAUGGCAUUUAGCAAAUUUAAACAAACAGCAUUUACACAUUUUAAACAUGGAUGAAAGUGGGAUAUUAUUAAUCUACACAAAAUUCUAAGCAUUUUACAUGUUAAAAUCAUUUUAAUCCGAUGCACGGUUAAUGAGUUAUUAAAUGCAUGAAGUUUAGGGUCCAAUCUGUAAAACUGAAAAUCACCGGAUAAUGCUAAAAUCGCAAAUCUGGAAAAAAAAUGCUAUCGGGCCGAAACUGCAGCCUGGCCCAACAGGAGAAAAAAAAAGGGGGGGCGCUGGGGCUGCUCACAUCGGGCCAACAGGCCGGCUGGCUUGGGGCUGGGCCUUGGAGCAGAGCAAGCUGGCCCGGCUGGGUCUGUGGAGGGAGUCGGCUGGGGGGGCGCAACCGGGCCUUGCUGGAGUGCGAUCGAGGCCUCAUGUCCACGCGUGCGCGGUCAACGCACGCGGUCGAGCGUUCGUUCCCGAGCUGUUCUGUUCGUUUCUGAAGAAGGAACACCGCAGCAGGGAACAGCGGCGCUGGAGCUCGCGACGGGAAGCAGGGGACGCAGGGCGGCGGCAGGGACUUGGCGCGGACGACGGCAGGGAGGGCGGAGGCCGUCGGGAACCGAUUCCCGGCGGUGGGGGGCGAAUCCGGCGAGGCAAGGUCCUGGCGGCGGCGAAUUUGCCGGUGUCGGGGACGAGGCGCGGGAGAGCAGAGGGCCUGCGAGGCGGCGCAGCGAACGAGGCCUGGCGAGGGGCGGAGCUUGACGGAUCCAGUCGCGGGACACCAGUGUGCUGGGUCACCGGAACGGCACGGAAGCGACCGGCGACGAAGCUUGGGGCGGCAUCCAUGGCGCUGUUGCUGUAACCUGAAGAAGGGAGGGAGAGAGAGAUUCAGAGAAAGAAGGAAGAGAAGGAGGGACCGAGGGAGAGGGCGCGGGGGCUCAUCUGCUGGACUGGAUGGCUGAAGGGGCGCUCGCGAGAGGAGGCGGAGCUCCGGACUGCUGCUGCUGCUUGGGUGGCUGGCAACCACCGGCGAGGCAGAGGCGCGGGGACAAGGAGGCACAGCCUCGUGCGUUUCCUUGGGCGCGCGGGCUUGGGAGAAGGAGAUCGAGCUCCUGGUUGCUGCUGGUCGAGGAGGGCCGAGGGGAUCUCUGGUUGGUGGGGAUCGGUAGAUGGGUGGAUCGACGGGACUGGGUGGCAGGGAAGAUCGAGGAAGGAGGAGGCUGCGGUGGGAUUGGCCGAUGGGGAAAUCGAGGAGGAUUCGGAGGAGUGGCGGCGGCGUGGGGAUGGAUGGGACAUGAUCCCUAGAUUUUAGGGUUUGACUGCUUAUAUAUAGCGAGUGGGUAGGCUUAGGGUCAUUUGGUCCCUUCGAUUAAAAUCGGACGGUCGCGAAAAAUAGGCUAGGGAGUCCAAAUAAGAAAACGGAGACGUUUUGUAGACGUUAGGGGAUGAUUCGGACCCAACGGUAAUGACUGCCCGGGUCGGGUUCAGGGGAGUUUCGGACACGCACGCGAGGGGUCUGAGUAAAAUGUAGAGAGGGUCAAACGGUCAGACAAGAGGGACCCAACAACCUGGUUGGUCUCGGAAUGGUCCACAAAAGCAAGGGGGGCGCGGCAACUACGAGCGGAUGCAAGUUUUAAAAUAUGACGGCAACGGAGUGCUGAUGCAAUGCGAAUGAUGCGAUGAUGAAAUGCAAGACAUGAACAAAAAUGCAAAACGAAAGACAAAAACCCAACCACGGAGAAAAUAAAAUAUCGCAUCUCUGGAAAAGGCAGGAGUUGGAGUUACGAAUAUGGAAAGCUACAACCGGGGCGUUACAACACUCCACCACUACGAGAGGAUCUCGUCCCGAGAUCUAGGAUGGCACCGGAGGAAACGGAAGAGAAAGAGAAGAGGUAAAACUAAGUUGCUUCUUUGACCAAUGAAUGAAAACCAAAGAACCUUGAGAGGUUGAACAAAUUGAAAGAAAACGAAACAACGGAGAUGGCCAAGAUUGCAAAUAAUUCGUUGGGCAAGAGGAACAAGGAACAUGAUGAGAACCAAGAGGUUGCAAAGACAUGAAUCAAGAGUUUCACGAACGACAAGAAUAUGACCACCUCGUAUAAUGAGAUAGCCAAAGAACAAGAAUGACAGAAUUUGGACAGCACUCCGGUAGAAAAGAGAAGAAAACUUGAUGAGAUGAAAAGAUAUUGAAGAGAUGAUACAACAGUCCGGUUAAAUGGAUAAGAAUGAAAAGAACACGAUGCUCACAAUACGAGAUGAUGAGUGAAAAGAGCAACAUCACAAUGCCUCCGGAAGAAAGAAUAGAAGAUAGAUCAUAGGAAUAACAGAAUGGAGAAGAAAAUGCCAACUUCUGCCACAAAUGAUCUUGGAAAGCACCCUUCCGAGAAGGUUAGAAUGGAGUUGUUAGAAAACCAACAACGAAAAGAACAAGCUUGUUGUGGGCUUAUGGAACACAUCUCAAAAUGAUGAGGUGACAACCGGCCACUAAUGGAAACAAUUGAUUGGUUGAGAUCAAUGAAGAUAAGAGAAACCUCUUCCACCAAGAUGAGAAGAAGAAAAUUUGAUCAUAGAUAAGCACCACAAAUAGCAGCAUUCCUUAGGGAAGGCUUUAGGUGAAAUCUAUACCCAAGAUAACUCCAUGUCGGGGGUUGGAUGCGACAUAUGCCAACGGGUGGCUUAUCAUGGUGGGGGCGAGUAGAACGUCACCGGUGCCUGGAAACGGGAUGAGGCGCAGACAUGCGCGCCGACGAAUCUUACCCAGCUUCGGGGCUCUCCGGGGAGAUAACACCCCUACUGCUGCUCUGCGGGGUCUCCGCAUGAUCACUAAGGUAUGAUAGUACAAUGGUGCUCCUUGAGCUGUUUCGGGAGGCAGGAGGGAGCAAGGCUAGCUCUCUCCCUUGGUUUGUUAUGUGUCUGAAUCUAUCCAGCGCCGAACCCUUUGCAUGGGUGCCCCGGGGGGUUUAUAUAGGCCUACCCCCCGGGGGUACAAUGGUAAUCUGACUGGGCGUGGCCCCCAGCCGUCAGUCUCUCUCGCAGCCGUCUCCCCUGCCGGCUUCUGGGGCCCGCUAUCUGGCGGGCCCCGCGGACAGGCCGAGCACUGUGCGACGCCCCUGGUGACGCAGGCUUGGUCAUGGGGUCGUGGGAAAAGUGCCGCCAUCUAUCAGGCGAUCGCUGUCGCCACUCCCCGUCCAAUCUGGUUUAUGGCUUGUGGGGCCCUGACUGGGAGGCGGCCGACUUCGGGGAGGCCGACUCCCGCAGGGCCGUCUUCGGGCUCUCCGGCCAUCUUCUUCUCUCUCACUGACAGGGGGCCCGGCGAUCCUCGGGCCGUACAGGCCGCCGUCGUGGGCACAGUGCCUUGUGUACUAUGGCUGAAGUCAGGGGAGGCAUGGCAACAGUGUCGCGCCUCACCGGAGAUCUCCCGGUGAUACGGCUCACUGCAGCCAUGCCUUCCUCCCGUGGGCUUGAGGGGACGGCCACGUCGGGGCCGUACCCUGCGUCGGUCUUCGUGAAAGGUCGCGGGCCGACUCUCAUAUUCGGCCCCCUGAAAGGUCGCAAGCCCGGAGUCGGCUUGUUUCAGAGUCGCCGUCUAAGGACUCGGCUUCCUCGAAGGUCGCCAGCUGGGACUCGGCCUUCUCGAAGGUCGCCAGCUGGGACUCGGCUGAGGGGCGCGGCCUGCCCCGAUGUCUUAAAAGAUCUUGGGUCCCGGGUCAGCCUACCCGUGGCCCAUUCCUCCGACAGUAGUCCCCGAAGCUGGUGAAGCCCGGCGGGCGCCGCCUCGCGGGGCUUCAACAGUUUCAAUCUUCCCGACGCCGACUCUGAGACUCGGCCGCGGUUCCCUUGGUCCGCCAUGCCGAAGUCGGACUGGCUCCGCGAGGAGCCGCCGCUCGUAAGUCGUGGCGGGAAAUGGGCGGCGUAUCGGUUACGCUUCCCUGCCAUUAUUGAGGCGGUCCUAUCGCACGGCGCCACGUGGAGGCGAUAGUCUGCCUGCCCACGCGCGUGACGGGAUGGGCCGCCAGGUGGGGCCCGCCACUACCGCGCCUCGGCUCCCGAGCAGAUCCGCUGUGGCCGAGGGCGGUUGGCAUCCCCACGUCGUUACUGCGCGCAGUAACUUCGUGGGGGGUUAAUCGUGGGCGGCGUGGGGCCGCGGGCGCAGUUAAUCCCCACGUCGCCCCCUCGGCUUCUCAGCCCGUUGGGCUAUAAGUAGGCAGGAGGGAGCGGGGCGGCAAUGUACGCACACCUUCUCCCCCGCUCUCCCGCCCUUCCUUCCUCCUUCACUGCAAGCCACAGCUCUCUUCCUCCGCCGCGAGCCAAGGCUCCCCUCCUCGCCGGCGAUGAGUUCUUCUUCCGCCGCGCCCCCACCCCGCGCUCCGGCGUGUGGGACGGUUCGGACGUGGAGGCGGAGGACAUCGAGUUCCUUCGCCGGACACGCCGCCUCCCGAGCGCGGACUUGGUGCAAGCCCGUCCCGCGCCGGCGGGAGAGAUCCGGCCCGCGCCGGCGGAGGGCGAGCGGGUCAUCUUCCGCUCGCAUCUCAUGCGCGGGCUGGGGCUUCCGGCGAGCGGAUUCUUCCGCUCAUUUCUCGAGUUCCAAAGCCUGCAGCCGCACCACCUCACCCCCAACGCGGUGGUGCUUCUCUCCGCCUUCGCCACCCUGUGCGAAGGCUACAUCGGCGUUUUCCCCAUCCUCGAGCUGUGGGGGGAGUUCUUCUCUUCAAAACUUGGCACCCAGGCCGCCGGCACGCCGGCUCAGUGCGGCACCUACAUCGCGGUGCGGCGCACGACGGCCGACAAUCCUUUUCCGCCCAUCCCGCUGGUGAAAUCGGUGAAGAUGUGGCAGAAGUCUUAUUUCUACGUGAAGAACAUCUCCACCGACGGCGACUGGGUCAAUCUGCCGCCUUUCGACCCCGAGCCGCUGACUGGCCGGCUGGCCAGUUGGUCCCAUCGGUCCAAAUCGCUUUCACCCUCCGGAGCCGGCGCCGUGGCGCGACUCCGAGUCAUGCUGCAGUCGGAGGGGCUCGUUGCCUCCGAUCUUCUGGCCGCCUUCGUGGCGCGCCGAGUUCUUCCGCUCCAGGGUUGGCCUCACCUCAUCUGCCAGAUGAGCAGCCGCCACGAUCCGAGCCGGCUGUGCACCAAGGACAUGCCGCGUGGGGAGGUGGCGAACUUGGUGAACCACAUCGCCCACUGCGGGUUCACGGAGGAGUGGCGGUUCGGCAAGGAGCAGUACUCGCGCGACAACCCCCCUCCAAUGGUGAGUUACAUCCGUCGGUAGUUCGAUCUUGUUUGCGUCUGACUUCGAACUCUGACUAUUGCUGACGACCCUCGAGCAGAAUCCCCUCAUAGCACCCGCAGUCGGCGCCAUCAGAGAACCUCGCGAUUACGUCCCAGAUCGCGAGGCCAGCGACGUUGACGACCACGACUUGGGGGCCACGGCGCUGGAGGCCGACGCCGAAGGCGGCGGAGAGGGGGCAGACGACGGCCUCAGGCCGUCGGCAACCUUUGCCGACUGGCCCGAGGACGACGUCGACACGGAAGUCGUCCCGCGCCGCCAGCCGAGGGCCGGUCCCUCCAGCCAAGCCGGCGCGAAGAGGCGUCACGCCGGGCCGAGUGCGCCCGGCGGCAAGUCGAAGAAGUUCAAGGGAGCCGCCGCCGCGACCAAGUGGGAGGAGGCGGCCGCGAAGGCCAACCGCUUCCGGAAGGAAGUGAGAAGGCCGCCACUGGUUUCUUCGUAAGUCCUUUACUCUUUCAUUUUCUUGCUGAAUCUUUAUCCGACUCUUGUUUGAUCUUCCCUCCAAUCUUCUCCAGAGCUCCCCUCUCCCUUGAGAGAGCCGCCGUCCCCUCCAUCACGGGGUCGGUGGAAACGUCCGCCAACACUCGGCGGAUUGAUCCCGCCGCCGAACUUCGGGAGGCGACGGAACGGAACGCGCGGGAGAAGCGCGAGGAGGAGGAGGCCGACCGCCUGGAGAAGGCGGAGGCCGAGAAGGCGGCCGCCAACGCCCAGCGACGUCUGGAAGAGGCCGAGACCGCGGCCGCAGCGAAGCGGCAUGCUGAAGAGGCCGUUCGUCGCCGAGCGGCGAUGCUCGUCCCCCCGCUGUCGUCGGUGCCGCCGGCUCACGAGUUCACGGGGCAGACCGGGGAGGUCGGCACCGCGAACCCUCUCACGGAGGAGGGCGGCGACAUCUCAGGCUCGGAUACUCACGCGCCGCCUCCGCCGCCCCCGCCGCCUCCGUCUUCGAGGCCGCAUGGCAAACAGCCGGUGGACCCGCAGGAUCCUCCGACCGCGGACGACGCCGAGGCGCAGCUGCUUCUUCAAGUCGCCGUGCCGAUGCGCCGCCGGAUUGAGAGGACGAGCUCAGCGCCGCGAGCUCGGGAGACUGGCGCCGCAAGUUCGGCGAAUCUGGACGUCAAGGCUUCUAGUGCCGCGCCCACCGGCUGGCUGCGGGGAGGCGGCACCGGCCCACUGAACCAGGCCCUCCUAGACGUCCAGUCGAAGCUGCGCGAAGAGGGCGACGCCCUCCAACUCUGCACCAGAGCGCAUCUGGCCCUUCGGACCUCCGUACGGGUAUGUUUCGUUUCUUCUUUUGAUUUUUGUCUUCUUCUGUGGGGGCGCGCCAGCGCACCCACUGGGUGUAGUCCCUGAGUUCGGGGCCGGCUGCUGAGCAGGCGGCUCGGAACUCCUUCUGGCGAGCUCCGAAGACUAACUUUUACUUUGCCGGCCUUGCAGGAAUACCACAAUCUCCGCGCCGCUGCCUUCAACCGCAACGUUGAAGAGCUGAAGAAACGGACCGCCGAUCUGACGGAAAGCCGAGGUGAGCUAAUUCUUCCUUCUUCGUGGGGGCGCGCUGGCGCACCCGCGGGCUGUAGUCCCCGAGAUUCGGGCCGACUGCUGAGCAGUCGGGCCGGAUCUCCCCGGCGACCUGUCUUCCUUCUUCUCCGCGGGGGCGCACUGGCGCGCCCACGGGCUGUAGUCCCCGAGAUUCGGGCCAACUGCUGAGCAGUCAGGCUGGAUCUCCCCGGCGACCUUCCUUACUUAUGACGUUCUUGUCUUUUUACUUCGAUCUUUAGGCGCCAAUGCCACCCUCCAAGAGCAGCUGGGCGAGGCCAACACCGCACGUCGCGCCAAGGAGGAGGAGUGCGACAAGCUCAUCCAAGAGCGCGACCUGCUGGCGACGCAGCUGGCCGAGCAGAAAGAGCAGCUCCGGAAGGCGCAGGAAGACGCCAAGUCGCGGGAAGAUGCCCUCAUAUCCGAGUUCGAGGUCGAGCGCUCCGCCUGGACCGACCGGGAGGCGAUGCUGACUUCCGGCUACGACGAGCUCGAGGACGUCGUCGAUGGUAACUCUUUUUUCUCUUCUUUGGUCUUCCGACUCUGUGUCAGGCUGAUUUCUGAUUUUUCUGACUGUCUUCUUUUCCUGUCUUGGCAGACUUCUUUCCCGGCCACUCGCAAGCCGUCCCUCUGGCCAUCGAGGCGGCUCGGGAGGAGCGGAGGGCGAAGGGCGAAGUGAUUGCUGCCAACGCCCCCCGAACCAUCGACGAGCAGCUCCUGAGUAUCGAGGUUCCUCUUCGUCCUGCGCACCGUCAGCUGCGCCGUCUUCAGCGCGCCGGCGCCCAAGUGGUUGCCGCCCUGUGGCCGGAGGUGCCGACUCUGUGCACCGCCAGCCGGACGGCCGACUGGCUAGAGGUCGCCGCCGGUCGCUUCGAGGCUUGGAGGGGCUCCUUGGCCCGUGCCGGAGCACGCCGGGCCUUGGAGUUCGUCAAAGGGUGGUAUCCGGGGCUGGACCUGGACCGCCUGGCCGCGUUCCGGUCAGAGGCCCAGGCCGAGCUGGAGGCCGUAGAAGGCGCCCUUGUCGAGCGCGCGGCGGCGAUCGCCGAGUACACGGACACCAGUGUCUUUGUGCCCGAGCGGACCGAAGGCGGCGAGGAGGUACCGCUGGAGUGGUUCGGGAUGCACCCGGAGUGCGAGGAGGACUCAGCGGAGGUGAUCGGCUCCAGCACCGAGGAGGAGGACGAGUCGGAGGACGGAGGCGAGGAGGAGGCGCCGGAGGACGAAACAGGCGGCCAGCCUCAGCCUGAUCGCGCCUCCAGCAACGAGCCGCAGAAGGACAAGGCGACUGUCGCCGGAGGCGACCAAGCCGAGACCGCCCCGCCGACUGCCCCGACGUCCGACACCGCCGCCACCUCCGACCCUCCGACUCCGGAGGCCGCCCCCUAGAGUGCUUCAGUUUUACCUGUCUCUUUUGUUCUUUAAAACCUUGUCAGUUUCGAACAAUUCCACCCGCGGGGUGUAUUCGGCCAAGGGCCUUAUGUAAAUAUUUAUCUACUUUCCGCCUUUCCUUGCUUUUUGUUUCUUUAGACUUUUUCCUUUGCCGCCUUCCCUUAGUCACCGUCUUGCCGGCUGGGCGGCCGCUCUGCGGUCCGCCGCCGGGUCAAGUGCGUAGCUUCUUUAGGGAGGCAAGUACUUAGUCGUUUAGAAUAUCUUAGCAAGUUGGCUAGAAACUGACAGGCCGACUAUUUGAGAGUCGGCUAUCUUUGAUGAAAAUUGAGACGGCGAGCCGACUGCCCGCGAGUCGGCUCGGUAAGGGGAGGCUGGUAGCCGGCUUGGGCUACGCGUAGCUCUUAAGUCCUUAGCCAUUUUUCAUAUGUGCGCUCGUUCUUGCUUGUCCCCUGCCCACCGCCAGUCGCUCUGCGAGCUGUGGCUUUCGGCAGGAGACGGCUUUGAGCGCAGCACAUUACUUGUCUGACUUCAGGGAGCAUUUUGUAGCGCAAGAUGGCGAGUCCCCGGGUCAACUAGUCAGACCCGGUGCCAGACAAUAUGAUAAAAGGGAAAAGCAUAUUCACAAGCGUAAUCCAUAUCAUACAGAUAAUCAAAAAGGCAGUCCCCGAGCUCGUCCCGGGGGGCCUAAGGUCUUAGUACUUAAUACAAAAGAGGGUAGCGCGAUACAUACUGCAUCAACUGUAAAAUCUCCGAAGAAGAUUCGCGUUCCACGGGCGCUCUGUUUCUUUGCCGGAGUCGUCCCUCUUGCGUGCUCGAGGCUUCUGAGCGUCGAUCAAAUAGUAGGCGUCAUUCCCUAGCACCUUGCUGAUGAUGAAGGGACCUUCCCAAGGCGCCGACAACUUGUGCUGGCCGGCUGUUCUCUGAAUCAGCCGGAGCACAAGGUCGCCCUCUUGGAAUGAUCUUGGCUUGACCUUGCGAUUGUAGUAUCGGCGCAGACUCUGCUGGUAGAUGCCGGACCGACUGAGUGCCAACAGUCAGCCCUCUUCCAGCAGAUCGACGCCGUCUUGGCGUGCUUCUUCAGCCUCCUCUUCGGUGUACAUGGAGACUCGCGGGGAGUCGAACUCUAUAUCCGUCAGGAUGACGGCCUCGGCACCGUAGACGAGGAAGAAAGGCGUGAAGCCGGUUGACUUGUUUGGGAUCGUGCGCAGACUCCAAAGGACGACAGGCAGCUCUUCGACCCAACAGCCGGCCGAGCGCUCGAGUGGUUCGACCAAUCGAGGCUUGAUGCCGGACAAGAUGAGGCCGUUGGCUCGUUCCACCUGGCCGUUUGACUGCGGAUGGGCAACGGACGCUAAGUCCAGUCGGAUGCCUUGCGUCGCGCAGAAACGAGCCAAGGCGCCCUUGGCGAAGUUGGUGCCGUUGUCUGUGAUGAUGUUGUGCGGUAUGCCAUACCGCACUGUGAUGUCGACAAUGAAGGUCACUGCUGUGGGCCCGUUUAAUUUCUUGAUGGGCUUUGCUUCUACCCACUUGGUGAACUUGUCCACUGCGACAAGCAAAUGAGUUAGGCCGCCUCGGGCCGUCUUGAAUGGUCCCAGCAUGUCCAGGCCCCAAACUGCGAAGGGCCAGGCAAUGGGGAUUGUCUUCAGCGCGGAAGCCGGCUGAAGGGGCUUGGAGCGGAACAUCUGGCACCCCUUGCAUUUUUUGACUAACUCUUUAGCGUCUUCCAGGGCGGUUGGCCAAAAGAAACCGUGCCGGAAGGCUUUGGCCACGAGUGCCCUUGAAGCUGCGUGGUGGCCGCACUCGCCCUGGUGGAUGUCUCUGAGGAUCGCUUGGCCUUGCUCUGACUCUACGCAGCGCUGGUGGACGCCAGUGACACUGUGCCUGACUAGCUCUCUGUUGACUAUGGUGUAGGAUGCUGCUCGGCGUUGCACUUGCCGAGCCAGGGUCUCGUCUGCUGGUAACUCCUUGUUUACUAGGAACUUGAGGAUGGGCUGCGCCCAUGAAGGUGCUGCUAUCUCUUCAACUGCUACUACAGCGACUUGGACAAGGGUGGCUGGGCUGGGAGGUGGCGGGCUGGAGUCUGCCGCCACUUGCUGGACUGGGAGAAUCUCUGGGCCGACUGGGGCAGCUCCCGGGCCGACUGGCGCAGUCCCCGGGCCGGGCUUGGAAGUUCCCGGGCCGACUGGCGCAGUCCCCGGGCUGAGCUCUGGAAUCCCCGGGCCGACUGGCGCAGUCCCCGGGCCGACUGUGGCUUUCUUGAGGUCGCUUGCUGGGGCCUUGGAGUCGGAUCCGACUAUUUCUGGCGGAGCCGGCACGAAGAUGGAGUCGGAUUCUGGUGAAGGCUUGAUAGACGGCUUGAGGAGGCGCUGAAGGGCGACGCCGGAAGGUAUUGCCUGGCGGGUGGAGCCGACUCGUGCCAAGGCGUCUGCUUGAUCGUUGUCUUUUCUCGGCACGUGAAGGAAUUCGCACCCCUCAAAAUAUCCGCUGAGUUGCUGCACCAGGAAGCGGUAGCUCGCCAUGUUUGCGUCUUUGGCGUCCCAGUCGCCAGAUGAUUGCUGGAUCACCAAGUCGGAAUCGCCAUAGCACAGGAUCCGGCGAAUGCCGAGUUCUUUGGCAAGCCGGAGUCCGUGGAUGAGCGCUUCAUAUUCGGCGACGUUGUUGGAGGCGGCGAAGUGGAUUUGCAGCACGUACUUGAGCUUGUCGCCCUUGGGGGAGGUGAGGACGACGCCGGCUCCAAGGCCGGUGCGCAUCUUGGAGCCGUCGAAGUGCAGCCGCCAAUGAGUAGAGUCGGGCGCUGGCGGCAGGUACUGGGUCUCGGCCCAGUCGACGAUGAAGUCGGCCAGCGCCUGCGACUUGAUGGCGGUGCGAGGUUGGUAGUAGAUGGUGUAAGGGGCUAGGUCGAUAGGCCACUUGGCCACUCCGCCGGAGGCAUCUCGGCUUCCAAUGAUCUCGGCGAGUGGAGCGGUGCAAACCACAGUGAUUGGAUGCUCUUGAAAGUAGGGCUUCAGCUUCUUGGCGGCAAAAUGCACGCCAUAGCACAUCUUCUGAUAGUGAGGGUAGUUCUGCUUGGAGGUCAACAGUACCUCGCUCAGGUAAUACACUGGUCUCUGGACCAGGAGCGCCUUGCCUUCGUCCUUGCGUUCAACUACAAUGACUGUGCUGACUACCCGGCUCGUGGCGGCGAUGUAUAAGAGCAUGGGCUCUUUGGGAGUCGGAGCCGCCAGCACAGGGGGAGUCGCCAGCAUCUUCUUCAGUUGGAGAAACGCCUCAUCUGCCUUGUGGUUCCACUCAAAAAAGGUGGUCUUCUUCAUCAGCUGAUACAAAGGCAGAGCUUUCUCGCCCAGCCGACUGAUGAAUCGGCUGAUUGAUGCCAAGCAGCAGGUGAACUUCUGCACAUCCAAUAGUCGGCUGGGUACCUCCAUUCUCUCAAUGGCCUUGAUCUUCACAGGGUUACACUCUAUGCCGCGCUCGGAGACCAAAAAGCCGAGGAGUUGGCCGGCUGGGACUCCGAACACGCACUUCUCAGGGUUGAGCUUGAUCUGGAAUCGGCGCAAAUUUUCAAAGGUCUCUUUGAGGUCUUCCAACAGCGUCCCACGCUUUUCCGUCUUCACCACCACGUCGUCCACAUAGACGUGGGCGUUUCUGCCGAGUUGCUUGAGGAGGCAUUUCUGCAUGCAACGCUGAAAGGUGGCGCCGGCAUUUCUCAAGCCGAACGUCAUUGUCAGGUAGCAGAAAGCUCCAAAUGGCGUGAUGAAUGCGGUCUUCAGUCUGUCCGCUGGAUUCAGCUUGAUCUGGUGAUAUCCUGAGUAGGCGUCUAGGAAACUCAACAGCUCGCAUCCGGCUGUGGAGUCUAUCACCUGAUCAAUCCUUGGCAGAGCAAACGGGUCCUUCGGGCAGGCUUUGUUGAGGCUAGUGUAGUCUAUGCACAUCCGCCACUGCUUAUUCUUCUUCAAUACCAGUACUGGGUUUGCUAACCACUCCGGAAAAAACACUUCCAUGAUGAAUCUGGCUGCUAGGAGCCGGGCUAUCUCUUCUCCCACGACUCUUCUCUUUUCUUCUGACAGGCGGCGCAAGGGCUGCCUGACGGGCUUCACAUCCGGCCUGACAUGUAGCUUGUGCUCGGCGAAUUCCGUCGGUACACCUGGCAUGUCCUUGGGGGACCAUGCGAAGAUGUCCCGAUUCUCACGGAGGAAAUCGACGAGCUCGCCUUCCUAUUUGCUGUCAAGACCGGUGCCUAUGACAGCGUACUCCUCUAGUUUCUCCGGGUCCAAGGGUAUCCUCUUGGUUUCUUUAGCCGGCUUGAAUGAUCCUUCUGCUUCCGACUCCUUGGGAUUGGGCGACAUCUCUGGCUGUUUUCCGGCCAUCGCCACAACCCGGUCAAGGAGCCGCUUCUCGGUUGCGAUCACCAAAGACUCGGCCAGCCGACUGCUCUCGGCCGCGCAAGCGGACGACUUCCGGUAGUCGCCGGCAAUAGUCAGAAUCCCCUUGGAACUCGGCAUCUUCAUCUUGAGGUAGGCAUAGUGGGGAACCGCCAUGAACUUGGCCAAAGCCGGCCGGCCAAGCAGCGCGUGGUAUGGGCUCUCCAAGUCCACCACUUCGAACCAGACUGGCUCUCGGUGAAAGUGAUCUUUGUCCCCGAAGAGGACGUCUAUCAGAAUCUUGCCGAUUGGUGAACAAGAGAGACCGGGUACGAUUCCAUGGAACAUGGUGCGGCUGCUCUGCAGCUGCCUCCGCCUGAUUCCGAGCUUCUCCAUGGUGUCCUUGUACAGGAUGUUUAUGCUGCUGCCUCCGUCUAUCAGGACCCGCGAGAAACGGGCGGCCCGCCUAUCAGUGGCCAAGGUCGCGCCUAGAACCAGGGCGUAGGAGCCCGGGCUCGGCAUCACCUCUGGGUGAUCUGCCCGACUCCAGCUGAUAGGCUUCUCGGACCAAUGCAUGAACUCAGGAGCCUCUUUUGCCACUGCGUUGACUUCUUGCUGUUGUUGGCGCCUGCUGCGCCAAUCAUCUGCCAGACUGGUGAACACUACAUAUGCUCCGUGCUCUUCCGGAAACUCAUCUUGGACCGCGCCGACCGGCCGGGCCACCGGCUGCUGGGGCGGCGGCGGAGGCGGCGGCCCUGCAGGCGGCGGAGGGGCGAGGCCGCCUCCCUUGGCGAUCCUGGCGAGCCAGUGGCACUUUCUUGUGGUGUGGUUCGACGGCUUCGCGCCGCUGUGGAACUUGCAAGGACCAUCCAGAGUCUGCUCAUAGGAGAAAGCCGGCAACCAGUUGGACUUGCCGCCUUUCUGCCGCUUGGCCGGAGGCUGCCCCUCCGGCUGCUGAUCUUCUACUGCCGCGACCUACCGACUGUUGGAAGCCGGCUGGGGGGCCUUGCGCUUGUUGUCGUUUUGCUGCUGUCGCCGGCUGGCGUCCCCAGCCGGGGUUCUGGGGGCUUGGGGAAUCACCUUGCCAGCCGCGUUGACCUGAAUCUCCGUCUUCAUAGAAGAGUCGGCCGUAGCGUACUUGUCUGCUAUGACCAGCAGUUCGUCGAGGGUUUCGGGCUCGUCGCAGAGGAGCUUGUGCUUGAGGAGGGUGCCCUCUCGGCACCCGGCCAUGAAGUACUCGAUGGCCUGCACCUCGUGCACGCCCUCGCAGGAGUUUCGAAGUUCGCCCCAGCGCGUGAGGUAGUCGCGUGUUGAUUCUUUAGGGCCUUGCACGCACAAGGAGAGCUGGCGCGGCUUGGGAGGUCGCUUGUACGUGCUGGUGAAGUUGUGAAUGAAGGCUUCAGUGAAGUCGACCCAACUGUUGAUGCUGUGGGGCUUCAGGCUGUUCAGCCAUGUCCGGGCCGUGCCCUGGAGCAUGAGGGGAACAUACUUCACGGCGACUCGCUUGUUGCCGUUGGCUAUGUUGACAGCUGUGGAGUAGUCUAUCAGCCAGUCCUUCGGCUUCACGGAGCCGGUGUGCUUGGGCGUGUCUCGGGGAAGCGUGAACCCUUUGGGAAAAGGCUCGUCUUUGAUGCGGGGCCCGAAGCAAGGCGGACCCAGCUCAUCUUCUUUUUCUAACGCCUGGGAUCUGUGGAGUCGGUCGAUCCGGUGGCGGACGUCAUUCUCUCCGACUCCCUCUCGGCGGCCGAGGCGACCUCCGAGAGUCGGAUGCUCAACAGGCGGCGGAGAAACUCGCCGCUCUCUUCAGGGUGGGGGAGGCAGAUAAUCAUCUCGCCGUUCCACAGCUCUGGGGCGGCCGUCUUGGUCGCGCUCGAUGGUGAUGCGCGUCCGGCUGUGACUGACAGCCGGCUCCUUCUCUUUCCUUCCGCGGGCUCCGCCAGUCGGCGUCCGGGAGGUCGCGCCUCGAUCUCGGCGAGGGGGUAAGUCGUCGUUCGGCUGCUGCAGCGCGUCUGCACGGCCGCCUGCCGCAUUCUGUGCAGCAACCGCGUCGAGGAGCUGCUAGACUCGCUCCGUCAUUACCCGGCGCUCUUCGCCUUCGAAGUUCUUCAGCUCUUCGGUCGCCGCUUGGGCGGCGUGGAUGUUCUCCGCAGGGGUGGCGUACACGGGAUGUUUCGCCCCGAGCAAGUCGGCGAUGGCUGCGUCGCGCUCUCGGACCGCACCUAGACGGCUCGGCCCAGUCGGAGCCGGCGAGCCGCCUACGGCGCGAUCCAUCUCACGCUGGUAUGCUUCUGACAAGCGCCUCAUGCUCGCCAACUUCUUAGCGCCUUCAAUGAUCUGAAGGCGGCGUUCUUCCAGCAUCUCCGCGUCCGCAUCCUCUGGGAUGGGCGCGGCCAGGUCUUGCAGGGCCGCUGGCAGCGGGUCCUGGGCGUUUUCGCUGGAGUGCUCGCCGUGACCGAUGACGAGCACCUCCGUGACGGCGCUUCCGCCACUCUCCUCGUACGGAAGCGGCUCGUCGUAGACCACCACGUUGGUGGGGAAGAUAUCAAGCGAUACGGCGUCGGAGUCGACCAGCAUCGGGUCGGAGGAGCCUACGGACUCCAAGUCUACGGCGGGCUCACCGACGACGUGGAGUUGGUCGAGGAGGCCCGCGAGAAGGUUCUCGGGGCCACCCGUGCCUGCACUCGGCACAGGCUCGUCGGAGAGGCGCACCUCACCGAUGAGUUCGGCGAGGCCGCUCGCGGCGCAGGCGGCUUUGGCGCCGCGCAGCGUGUCGAUGCAGACUCCAUCUGGCGAGCCGGGCUGGUUGCGCUCGCCAGGGAGGAAGAGGGUUCCCGUCCAGAACAGAUCUCCGGACGACGGUGCACUUCGCUCCACGGUGGGCGCCAAAUGUUGGGGGUUGGAUGCGACAUAUGCCAACGGGUGGCUUAUCAUGGUGGGGGCGAGUAGAACGUCGCCGGUGCCUGGAAACGGGAUGAGGCGCAGACAUGCGCGCCGGCGAAUCUUACCCAGCUUCGAGGCUCUCCGGGGAGAUAACACCCCUACUGCUGCUCUGCGGGGUCUCCGCAUGAUCACUAAGGUAUGAUAGUACAAUGGUGCUCCUUGAGCUGUUUCAGGAGGCAGGAGGGAGCAAGGCUAGCUCUCUCCCUUGGUUUGUUAUGUGUCUGAAUCUAUCCAGCGCCGAACCCUUUGCAUGGGUGCCCCGGGGGGUUUAUAUAGGCCUACCCCCCGGGGGUACAAUGGUAAUCUGACUGGGCGUGGCCCCCAGCCGCCAGUCUCUCUCGCAGCCGUCUCCCCUGCCGGCUUCUGGGGCUCGCCGGCUGGCGGGCCCCGCGGACAGGCCGAGCACUGUGCGACGCCCCUGGUGACGCAGGCUUGGUCAUGGGGUCGUGGGAACAGUGCCGCCAUCUAUCAGGCGAUCGCUGUCGCCACUCCCCGUCCAAUCUGGUUUAUGGCUUGUGGGGCCCUGACUGGGAGGCGACCGACUUCGGGGAGGCCGACUCCCGCAGGGCCGUCUUCGGGCUCUCCGGCCAUCUUCUUCUCUCUCACUGACAGGGGGCCCGGCGAUCCUCGGGCCGUACAGGCCGCCGUUGUGGGCACAGUGCCUUGUGUACUAUGGCUGAAGUCAGGGGAGGCAUGGCAACAGUGCCGCGCCUCACCGGAGAUCUCCCGGUGAUACGGCUCACUGCAGCCAUGCCUUCCUCCCGUGGGCUUGAGGGGACGGCCACGUCGGGGCCGUACCCUGCGUCGGUCUUCGUGAAAGGUCACGGGCCGACUCUCAUAGUCGGCCCCCUGAAAGGUCGCAAGCCCGGAGUCGGCUUGUUUCAGAGUCGCCGUCUAAGGACUCGGCUUCCUCGAAGGUCGCCAGCUGGGACUCGGCCUUCUCGAAGGUCGCCAGCUGGGACUCGGCUGAGGGGCGCGGCCUGCCCCGAUGUCUUGAAAGAUCUUGGGUCCCGGGUCAGCCUACCCGUGGCCCAUUCCUCCGACACUCCAACAAAGAUUUUGAUGGAUUUAAUAUACCUCGUUCUUGGCAACAUCUGAAUCAUGAAACAAGAAGGAAAUUGUCAAGAGUGACAUAACACCACCUCCAAAAUAUGGUAGAAAGAAUAGCACUCUGGAUUACCAUAUGAAGAAAGCUUGAGCUCCUUAGGAAAGAAUCUCGAUGAAAACUUUGAGAAGGGAAUUAAAUCCUUGAUGAACCAUCAUGUAGAACCUCCAUGAAGAACUCCGGUAAACAAAAGGAAUGAAAAGAAAGAGAAAUUGAAAACACAAGGUGAAUCCUUGCAAUGAUUUAGGUGGAGCUUCGUGACGAGACAUCCAAGAAAACUUGGAACUCCGGAAAGAAAAGAUGAACACUAGAACCGAGAAUUACUUCAUCAUGAACAAUCUUCGGAAGAAAAGAAUUGAAUCACCUCGAGGAAAUAAGAAUAAGAUUUAUUGUAUGCUUAUCCUUCAUCAAAUUAAAUUGAUGACAAACAAUGGAUUUGGCAUACUACUUAUUCUCGUAGAAAGGAUUAAAAGAGAUAUAGCGCGAACUUGAGAAGGUAUUGAUGGAACCACCGGUAGGAUUGAAACAACGAAAGAAUGAAUGAAUUGGUAUGAUAACGAAGGAAGUGAAAUCUUGAACGAACCACCGUAAGAGUUGAAAAUGGAAGCAGCAAAGCCACAAUUCACCGGGAAGAAUUGGAAAAUGAAUGAAGAUACUUGAGGGGAUUUAGAUGCAUGAGAACGAAGCAAUCAUGAACUGAUUAGAGGAUAUUUGAACGAUUCACCGAUAAGAUUUGGAGAACGAUAACUACACGCUGAGAACGAAGAAUUAUGAAAUGAUGGCCUUCGGAGGAAAGAAAUGGAAACAACUCAUGAAAUGCUCCGGAUGGUAAGAAAAGAGUUCUCACGAUCGAAAACAAUUAUGAGAGGAUGGCAUCAAGCUAGAACCAUGAAUAUUCAAGAGAAUGGACCAAGAUUUAAGAGAAAAACUUCUUCGGUCUUCAAAUGUUGAGAAUGACGAGGAGAAACAACGCCAAAAUUGCUGAGAUACUCCGGGAGAAUGAAAAAAAACCGAAAAGGUUGAGCCAACAAUGAAAAGAAUUUGAACGAGAUCUUGGAGAAGGCAUGUGACUGAUGGGAUCCAUUCUUACGUCACACUUGGAAAUGAAUUUGAGAAUCGCUCCUGAAUAAUUAGAAGAGUCGGGUAAGAUCCUAGGAAAAGACAUGUGGGUUAGGGCCCACUCAAAAGAAAACACCGUUCAAUGAUUGAUUGAAAUAAAGAUUGCACCGGUAAAAUUUAAUGGCUUAAUGAGAUAACAAUCUCCAAAUGGCUUGAACGGAUUAAGAAUGGAAACACAAAUCUUCUGAGAUAUCUUCAACACUCUGGAAUAAAUGAAUAGCAAGAGGUGAGUGAUUGAGAGGUGCACCGGCAUGAGGAAGCAUUUGACACGAGGAAAGGAAUAUGAUGAAUAUCGAAAACUUGAAUUGGAACCACCGGAGAAGAAACAACAACGAAGGAUGAUGAACUUGAAGCUCGUGAGCAUCUUCAUGAGGGAUCACCGGAUCAGAACAUUGAUUGAAAAGAAUGAAGAAACUUCUCUCAAAUAAAAGGAUACAUGAUUAAGAAAUCUGAGUCCUUGAAGAAAAAGGGUGGGAGGGUGGGGAAACAAAGACAACUUGAGAUGGAUGAAACAAACACCGUUGAGAAAACUUAGAAUUGAUCUCGCAAAUGUUGAAAUGAUCAGAUCCACUUGAAGAGAAGCACGCCGGUUGGAAAAGAAUUAACAUGACGACCUCGAUGAUCAAAAAGGAUUAGUAUUCACAUAGGAAUAUGAGAACACCGUUUAGGAAAGGUACGUAAUCAACACUUGACAUUGAAGCAACUCGAAUACCACAAAUAAAACAAAACAAAGGAUUUGGCUUGCAGAAUAAGCCAGAACAAACACAUAUGAUAGAGAUUUACCCAAUCCCAUAUCAUGCAUCUGUCGGAAAGAUAUACUAGGAGCUACUUGAAUUCCCACCUAUAAAACUCCCAAAACUUUCUGGUUAUGCAAUCUGGUGUUGGGGAUACAGGGGAAGCAAUAUAUCUCACCCAAACUAACAAUCCCUACAUCCAGCUGUAUCCAUCUGUCAACACAUAACCAAGAAACCUUCGGAAAUCGUGUACCUCAACCUUCGAAAAGGAUCCGUUAUACGAGUCAUGGCAAUACUCCCGUACUCACCUCAGUACUGGGUUAUCGGGGUUAUCUCACCAACAACUGCAUAAAAGAUAUUUUCGAUGUCGGCGUACUAAACUCAGGUAUUCCAGAACUGCAACGAUAAAAUUAUGACGACAACACCUCAGAGCUCAACUCCCCGGGACACUUCCACUAAACCCCUGACAGGAGGCACCAAGACAAUGUUCUCAUCAUAAAACCAUUGGAACGAUUCCAAGAUACCCGCGUGAUCCUAAAAAAAUUUUAGUGAAAUUUGAGAAGAGAAGAGUCAAAACUUCUACGUCAGGAGACCUCACCAGAGCGACGAAGGUACUGAGGAGUAAAAAGAAUUCCUAACUCUCCGAUAUAUAUAAUCCUAAAUGACUCAAAACAUUUUUUCUAGACACAACUCGGCCGCUAAAAACGAUCAAGCAGUGGGGCUCCUAAGGUCGGGGAAGGCUCUGAUUACCAACUUGUAACGCCCUCGAUGCGGCUAUAUCUCCCACGUGUCGAAGCACGACUUAGAGGCAUAACCGCAUUGAAAGCAAUGUCACAAGUGAGGUAAUCUUCACACAACCCAUGUAAUACAUAAGGGGAAAAGAUACAUAGUUGGCUUACAAUCGCCACUUCACACAAUUACAUGAAUAAAGCAUUACAUCAUCCAGAUACAAUCAAGGUCCGACUACGGAACCAAAAUAAAAGAAGAACCCCAAAUGCGACAAAGGUCCCCGAUCGACCCCAACUGGGCUCCACUACUGAUCAACUAGAACGAAACAACACAAAGGGCAAGAUCUUCAUCGAGCUCCUCCUUGAGCUUGGUUGCGUCACCUGCUCGGUAACAUCGACACCUGCAAACUGGUUUUGGAAGUAUCUGGUGAGCCAC